UACGUAGGGUGCAAGCGUUGUCCGGAAUUAUUGGGCGUAAAGAGCGUGCAGGCGGCUUCACAAGUCCGCUGUGAAAACUCGAGGCUCAACCUCGAGCUGUCGGCGGAAACCACUUGGCUAGAGUCCGGAAGAGGAGAGUGGAAUUCCUGGUGUAGCGGUGAAAUGCGCAGAUAUCAGGAAGAACACCUAUGGCGAAGGCAGCUCUCUGGGACGGUACUGACGCUGAGACGCGAAAGCGUGGGGAGCGAACAGG
rnacentral:rRNA from 1 species